rnacentral:rRNA from 1 species
AGGACGAACGCUGGCGGCGUGCUUAACACAUGCAAGUCGAGCGGAAAGGCCCUUCGGGGUACUCGAGCGGCGAACGGGUGAGUAACACGUGAGCAACCUGCCCCUGGCUCUGGGAUAGCUCCGGGAAACCGGGAUUAAUACCGGAUAUGACCCCCUUCUGCAUGGUGGGGGGUGGAAAGUUUUUCGGCUGGGGAUGGGCUCGCGGCCUAUCAGCUUGUUGGUGGGUGAUGGCCUACCAAGGCGACGACGGGUA